rnacentral:lncRNA from 10 species
UUUUGUAAUGCUGAUGAAAGUAAUAGGUGAGACAGUAAAAACAGAAAGAGUGCACUGCAAGCAGGAAAAGCCACAGCCUCUUUCCCCACUACCCCUCUCCUUCCUUGCCUCAACAAGCUGCUUCCAGUUUUCACCCUCUGUUUGCUUCUCUAGGAGGGUCCAACUAUGUGGAAGCUGUCACCUUUGAUGGAAUUUAUCUGAUACCAUAUAACAUAGUGGAAGGAGAGUCAAAGAAUUUGUGGCUAUUUUAAGUCACACAUCAUUUCUUUUUCCAUGCCCCACCCCUGGAACCUUCUCAAGGUGUUUGACUUCAACCAGAGUUGAAGAUCCCCCAUCUGCAAUACUGCUGCACCCCCACCUCAAGCCCCAGCUGAUUGAACCCCAGGUGGAUUCCUGAUUCAGGCAAUCCACAGGCUGGGCUGAAGCAAUCAUGAUGUCUCUCUAAGGAAUAUUAAUUAAAAGCCACAGAGACCCCAGUCAGUUUUAAGGAGGUGUGCCGCCAGAAACCAGGGUCAGCACCAUACCAAACCAAAGUUAUGGAGGAGUAAAAACCAAAAGUCUUGCAGAAGCAGCAGAUUUGGAGACAAAAAAAGCAGAACCCACAUGCAGAAAGAAAAGAGAGGCACCACGUGACCCUUGAGACAAAGUGACAGACAUUCCAGUGCUGCCAGACAGAUUUCCAGUAUCUGUGAGGUCCUGCUGUGCACCAGAGAAGAGAGUUCUGGGAAAACCCCUGCUAUGGGUUGAACUGUAUUCCCCAAACAUUCAUAUGUUGGAGCCUUAACCUCCAGGACCUUAGAAUGGGACCUUACUUGGAAAUAGAGUCAUUGCAGAUGUAAUUAGUUAAGCUGAGUUCCUACUGGAGUAGGGUGGGCCCCUAAUCCAAUAUAUUGUUGUCCUUAUAAAAAGGGGAAGUCUGGAGAAUAGUUAUCCUUCCAAGAUAAACUAUUUGCCAAAUAUGUAACAGAGUAACCAGCCAUUUCCAUAUGGGAUUUCUAGUCAUUUCCCAGUUAAAAAUUAAGGAAUAGGUACACGCAGUAAGAGCACUCAGUGAAGAUGAGGGCAGAGAUCAAGAUGCCACAUCUACAAACCAAGGAACACCAAAGAUUGCCAGAAACUAUCAGAAGCUAGGGGAAAGGCAUGGAACAGUUACUUCUUCACAGCCGUCAGAAGGAACCAACCCUGUUGACACCCGGACCUCAGACGUGAAGCCUCCAGAACCGUGAGAUACAAAAUUCCUGUUGUUUAAGCCACUCAGUUUGUGGUACUUUGUUAUGGCAGCUCUGGAAAAUGAAUAUGACCCCUAUAACUGCAUUUCCAUGUGAGCUCAUUUAAGUGGGUGUCUGUUCCUUGAAGAAGAAAAAUGAUAUGAAUCAAAACAUCCCACCUAAACUGCCUUUGCUCUGAGCAGAGGGAACACCCUCUGGCAGAGCCAGGGUUCUUCUCAGAAAAUUAUUCCCAGUCUCCUCCAGGACUAAGAUAAAUGAAUGAGCAAAGUUUAAAAGUUCUCUUCUAAAGAACAUGGUCAAAAUAGUUUUAGCCUGUAAAAUUUGAAGGCAGAUAAAACCAGAAUUCAGCCUUGGCAGAAUAAACUCUCAAUAAAGUAACCUCAGAUCCUUAGCUCCGAACACCACUUUUUUUUUUCCUGUAUUCCUUCCAAGAUAAACUAUUAGCCAGAUAUGUAACAGAGUAACCAGUCAUUUUUAUAUGGGAUUGUUAUUCAUUGCCCAGUUGAAAAUUAAAGAAUCAGUACAAAAAAAAAAAAAACAAAACACUUUUGUUCUAGGAAAGAGAAUCAGAUAUCCUUUUUUAGCAAUAAUUAACUAGCAAGGUCGUGCUGUCACCACGGUUUUUAAAAUACCCUUUUGUCUUUCAUGGCAAGUGUAUGCAUCUAGACCAUCUGAAAGUGGCUCUAGAACAUGAAAAUAUAAAUGUAAAACAAGAAAGGGGCAGGAAAAGAAUGAGGAGCAGGCAAAACAUAACCACGUGUUGGCUAUUUCUAACUCCCUGGUCCAGGAGUACUCAUUAAUCACUCUAAUCCCACAGAAGUAUAAUGAUUCUGAAUAUCUACAUAUGCCACAAAUUAUCUAAUACUGUUCCUGAUUUACUAGGUGUGGAGUGGCCAUAUAUAAAACCUGACUGUUACUCACAUAAAAUAUUGGCCUGAAACUCUCAGACUUCGAAGCAAGUAGCAGAUUUGGAUGGAAUACACCACAAAUUAAUAAAGCCAUAAUCUAGAGAAGGUAAUAAAUUGACUUUUUAAAUAUGAGAUACUCUAAACUCUGGCUUCAGUGGGGAAGAGUUUUUUUUUUUUACUUCAAGUUAUGCUGAUUUAAUUACAAAAUAAGCUUUUCCAAGGCACUGGCCUUUGUAAUGAAGGUAAAUAUUACAUGUUUGCUAAAAAACAGGGUUUUAUAAAACUCCUCACCUCAUAUAAACAAUUGUAAGUCUUUUGUUUUUUCCAGAAAAAAAAAAACUUUCACUAAGUAUUAGUCACUCAUAUAUCUAUAAAUCUCAGAGGAAUUUCCCCAAGCACUCUGGCUUCCCAAGUAGGAGAUUGUUUCUCCUAGUUCAAGUCUCAUUUCACUGUUAGGCUGGCUGUUAUUUCAUGGUGACUUGCCAUGUUAAUAGUAUGUCUUCUAAUCCACGAAUGUGAUAUAGCUCUCCAACUUAUUUGAGUCCUCUUCAGUUUUACUCAACAGUGUUUUGUAGUUUUCUGUGUAUAGGUUUUGGAAAUCCAUAAUUAAAUUUAUCCUUGGGUAUUCUAUGGUUCUUUGUUAUUAUGAAUUGUAUUUUUUAUCUCAUUUCCCAAUUGUUUUGCUGGUAUACAGAAAUAUAAUUUAUUUACCUAUAUGGACCUGGAAAAUUACAGCUUUGUUAAUUAAAUUCAACUAGUUAUAUUAGUUGUUUUGCAGAUUCCUUAGGAUUUCUACAUUUUAAAAAUAAAGUCAUCUAAGAAUAAAUAAUUUUUAUUCUUUCCAACUUUGAAUGCUUAAUUUCCUUUUUGUAUUGUAUUGCCCUGGUUAAGCCUUUCAGUACAAUGUGGAAUAGAAGUAGUUAGCACCGAGAUCCUUUCCUUGUUCUUCAUCUUAGAUGAACAGCAUUCAGUCUUUUGCAAUUCAAUAGGAUGUUAGCGCGUAGGAUUUCUACGAGUAGCCCACUGAUCUUUUUAGAAUAAUGAGAUCCG